GUAGCUCAGUGGUAGAGCAUCCGUCUUGCAUGCCAAAGGUCCCAGGUUCAAUCCCCCGGAGACCCA